AUUGAACGCUGGCGGCAGGCCUAACACAUGCAAGUCGAGCGGAUGAAGGGAGCUUGCUCCUGGAUUCAGCGGCGGACGGGUGAGUAAUGCCUAGGAAUCUGCCUGGUAGUGGGGGAUAACGUCCGGACACGGGCGCUAAUACCGCAUACGUCCUGAGGGAGAAAGUGGGGGAUCUUCGGACCUCACGCUAUCAGAUGAGCCUAGGUCGGAUUAGCUAGUUGGUGGGGUAAAGGCCUACCAAGGCGACGAUCCGUAACUGGUCUGAGAGGAUGAUCAGUCACACUGGAACUGAGACACGGUCCAGACUCCUACGGGAGGCAGCAGUGGGGAAUAUUGGACAAUGGGCGAAAGCCUGGUCCAGCCAUGCCGCGUGUGUGAAGAAGGUCUUCGGAUUGUAAAGCACUUUAAGUUGGGAGGAAGGGCAGUAAGUUAAUACCUUGCUGUUUUGACGUUACCAACAGAAUAAGCACCGGCUAACUUCGUG
rnacentral:rRNA from 1 species